rnacentral:sRNA from 1 species
ACAAUACAGUGGAGGAUGCUAGAACUAUUUUGGAG